CAUUAAUCUUCAUGACAAAUUUGUGUCAAUGAGUAUGUAAAAGAUUCAGAGACACGCAUUUGUCGUGAGGAUAUUUGA
rnacentral:pre_miRNA from 1 species